rnacentral:rRNA from 1 species
GAGUUUGAUCUUGGCUCAGAACGAACGCUGGCGGCAUGCCUAACACAUGCAAGUCGAACGAAGUCUUCGGACUUAGUGGCGCACGGGUGCGUAACGCGUGGGAAUCUGCCCUUGGGUACGGAAUAACUCAGAGAAAUUUGUGCUAAUACCGUAUAAUGUCUUCGGACCAAAGAUUUAUCGCCCAAGGAUGAGCCCGCGUAAGAUUAGCUAGUUGGUGAGGUAAGAGCUCACCAAGGCGACGAUCUUUAGCUGGUCUGAGAGGAUGAUCAGCCACACUGGGACUGAGACACGGCCCAGACUCCUACGGGAGGCAGCAGUGGGGAAUAUUGGACAAUGGGCGAAAGCCUGAUCCAGCAAUGCCGCGUGAGUGAUGAAGGCCUCAGGGUUGUAAAGCUCUUUUACCCGGGAUGAUAAUGACAGUACCGGGAGAAUAAGCUCCGGCUAACUCCGUGCCAGCCGCCGCAGUAAG